ACGGUUUUAGUAAGGAUUCUACGCAAUGUUGGAUAAAUGAGACCCCAGAACUUUGGUGGGUCUGACCACAAAAACUGCUCCAGAUGAAGCUGCUGCUGCCACGAUUCCUGUAAUUAAAGCACUCAAAACUCAGGUGAAGCAUUUCCUCUUGUUAAUAAACGAAUCUUCAGAUUGAAUCUGUCAGGGUGGAAAACACCACAACCUGAAAUGAAUCACACCAGGAGACAGGAUUGAGAGUAAGACCUUUUAGCUGCAGCGGAGGAGAUACGAGUCAAUGAGAAUUGACGUGUGUGAAACAAAAAUACCACCAUAUUCUCCCUGAGUCUGAAUUUGCCCCGCUGACACUAUUUAUUAUUGAAGCACACAAAGGGGUAACAAUGCUGAACCAAUCAGUAGACACAGCAUCUCCUAUUCUGACCACUAAGAACUGUUACUGUCUAUGGGCGGUAUCUUCUUUUAGCAGGGCCUGCCUCAUGACCGGACAGCUCCUCCUCUUCCUGUCACAUCCACAAAGUCAGAUGCUGUUAGACGAUCAGAUGCUGUUAGACACGAGUUCAGAAGAAUGUUAGUCAUGAGUUCCGUGGAAUGUUAGCCAUGAGUUCAAUCUUAUUCAGUCCUCUUGAUGCAGGCCUUUUGUGCUUAAAAAGAAACAUUUCAUUAUGGUUAUAAAACUUAACAGAAUCAAAUAAAAUAAGUUAUGGUCGGUGUAAUAGAUCCUUCCUGCUGGACUGAUGCACAAGGAGUUUUUUCCCAAGUGGCAACUAAAGGAAAUGAAAGAAUGACACAUAGGAAAAACUUCAAAUCGACAUCUGGUUACGCAUCACUGUUGUGUGACGGGGUGAGUACUCCCUCUUCUCCACAACAUCUUUGUAAGACUGUCAUUCCAGGAGAGGGCACUCACCAGCUGCGGGGCAUUACCGAUCAGCGGCAGCUGCAGAUCCUCUAAUCAACCGCAGCAGAGCUCUAUUUAAGAGGAGAGGGAACUACUUCACAUUGCUGGAUGAUUAACUACUCACGGAUACUUGGAAUCGCAGAACCAAUGAUGGAUGUACCUACCUGGAAGUCACCAUAACUCGCCUGGAUUACACACUCAAGGUUCACCUCUCCUCCUUCUUCACUUGCCCUCUGCCGCCAUCAUCUGGCUCCCUCUCCUGGAUGCACCCCGUCACACCGUCUGCCCUCCCUGCUGGCUUUUGGACUCUUGCCAACUACUUCACACUUGGAUAUCUCCAGGACACUUUUAGUUAGGGUUAAUAAAUCAUUGUUUGAACUUUCUGCCUUUGUCCUGUGAUGGUUCUUCAUGUCGUGGGUUAAACACCUUCCCAGGAACAUGACAAUCACAUCCUAAAAAUCAUGAGAGCAGUCAUUUAUCUUCCAUUUCUGCUUUAAAGAUACAACAACAUGCAAAACAGAAGACACCUGAACUUAAAUUCUUUUGAAAAUGUGUAGAUUAUGAUUUAAAGUUGCGUUCUCACCUCGAAACCAGAAUAAUUGCCUUAAUUUAACUUGAAAAUGUUUCUAAUCUUUGCUUUUAAAAGACCGUCUUUCCAUAUCAGGAUAAUAAUGAUUAAAAUCAAUCAUGAAACACCCGAAAUUACAACAAGAACGUGUAAAUGUUAUGGAUGUACAUAGUUAACUGGUUAAUUGCUGUUAAUGUAAACUGGGUAAAAUAGUUUUGCCUGGUUAGCUGCUUCAAGCCCUUCUGCUGUGCUGGGGUGCAAUAUAUGUUGUACCACCAGAGGGCACAAGAGCGUCGAAAAUGAUAAUAUAUUUCCAUUUUCUUUCCCUGUAAUGCCUUACACUACCACAUUACAGCAAAAAGCAAUGCAUUACAGUAAUUAAUUACCUUUGUACCGCAUUACUCCCAACUCUGCUGAGGAGCCUGGGUGUAACCUUUUUGUUUUUCUGUUAAAGUAACAGCCUUGGGCCUUGAUACUUUCUUAGCUUUUAGUUUCAACCAGAGGGCUAAACCUUAGUAAGAGUCCUUUCUUCUGUAUAGCCUUUUUAGCUAAAAAGUAACUGUUGGAGCGCUGCUCCACAUUUUGGGUUUACCUGUAUUUAUUUUCAGGUCUUCUUACAGUUUAUGAUUUAAUGAAGUCCUGUUAAGUUUGGUCACAGUGUUUGGCUGAUUAAGUAUAAGUAUUGAUUACUGGUGGAGUGGUGCUCCUCUCUUUUGUGUUUAUCAUUUGUGUUAAUAAAAAACAUUUUUAAUAACUUCUACCACAUGCCUCUUAUGUUGAAAUGGCCUUUAUUUUGACACUUUUGGGUCAGAACACGGUAAAAAAUACAUAGUCUGCAAUUCUAGUAUAAAGCUUGAUAAAAGUUACACUUUAAUUUGCCCACAUUUUCUAAUAGAAGCAUCAACAUU